CAACCCAAGGAGCGUUGCAGCGGAACCCAGCGUCCGUCAGGCUUGGGUUACGGCGGCCGCCGCGCGGCGGCCUUCUGCAACGACGCUCACCUUAG
rnacentral:ncRNA from 2 species